AUGCAGGGAAGAGCCGUUGCUCUGCAGCGUUUAGAUGCGCUGAAGCGGGCACGACCGCGGGCCUGGCCAGCGCCURGCGGAGGUCACGGGGACGGGGCGGMCGCGGCGGGAGCAGCGUCGGUCUCCCCCGCGGCAGGCGCAGACGCGGCGCUAGGGCAGGCGGCGGCUGACGAGCCCCGGCAGGGAUCACCCACGCGGGCAAGCCGGCGGAACGCAGGAGAGGGCUUUCGUUCGGUUUUAUCAGCGUUUCCCGUUCAGCCUGAGUCUCGGCGGGUUGCAAACGAACGCUGCUGGGCGACGCUAGGAAAAAGGCUCGGGGGCUUCUUGCUGCGGUGGCGCGGCCUGUUAUCUGUGAAAGCUUUGGGAAUAGCUACUCCAAAGGCACCAAGCGAGAACUGGCGGCACGCUACAUCAGCCCUUUCAGCUCUGUUUUUGCAAAGRGCGAUUUCCUUAGCCGUGUGCCGCUCAGGUUUUGCUUUGCCGACUUGUGCGCUUUGCGCCCUGCGCGUCCUGCUUUGGCGUGCGCUGCGCUCGCGCGAGGAGCCGUGGGGACACCAAGACGCGGCAGCGUCAAAGCGUUUGUGCCGUGGGCGCAGCGCGCUGGCAAAGCUGCRUUUCUUCGCUCGUCUCUCCUCCUCCCCGGCCAAGAUGCGAGCCCGACCGAAGCGCAUCUCGUCCCCGCGCAGCUACGCCGCUGGGCGCCCCGCUCUGCCGUGCAAACGCGGCCGGGACGUGCCGGGACGGGGACGCCCAUCGCGGCCUCCUUGGGUGGCUUUGCAAAGGGAGCGGUGGGGACAUCGGCCCCACGGACGGCGCGGCGAAGGUGCAAGGCGGCGGCUGCUGCUCUCCCCGGCCGGCGUCGGUGCACCGCCGAGCAGCAGGGAACCCGCAGGCACAUUCACAGCUCGCCCCAAGUUUCCUCCCGUGGCCCUGGUUCAAAGGGCUCCUCCCGCUCCCGAAAGAGUUUCGCGGCCAGUGCCGCCGCUUUCCACACCAAAGCGCGGCAGCCCCUCGCCUUGUUUGAGGACCGUCAGGCCAGGGACAAAUUAA
rnacentral:lncRNA from 1 species